ensembl:snRNA U6 U6 spliceosomal RNA
GUGCUUGCUUCAGCAGCACAUACACUAAAAUUGGAAUGAUAGAAAGAAGAUUAGCUUGGCCCCUGCACAAGGAUGACAUAGAAAUUUGUGAAGCAUUCCACAUUAAA